ensembl:lncRNA
UGGACACAGGACCAGAGUCCUGCAGAACCUCACAGCUGAGGAGUUUGAGAACCUCGAGAAGGCUGACGGCGGUCUCUUUCUGAUCAAUGUGAAGCAGCACAAACCUGCCUCUGCUUUCGGACUCGCUAAGCUGGCCGUCACCAAGCUGGAGCUGAAGUGGCUGAAAGCUUUCUGCCGCUUGAGGAAGCAUAUGGCGCGAUAUGAGACUUCUGUGGGGUGGCUUUUCUUUUCUGGCACACAGGCCAGGAUUUCUGUGCAUGUCAAGCUUGCCCUGCGGGCACUCGUGGGAAGGGACAUCACUGUGUCGGACAUCCGCAUGGCUCUAGCAACCUACUGCGAACGCAAUCUGUCUGACGAACGGCACAUGCUCGUGACCAAAACGAUGUGCCACAGCAAGGAGCUGAGUCGUGGAGCUGUCGGUCAGCGAGGCGCACUCCGCCCAGUCUGCGCUUGAGUCUGCUACGGGCAUAGUACAGUAGCAUCACUCAUGGCAAGACCACACAG